rnacentral:rRNA from 1 species
UACAGAGGUCUCAAGCGUUGUUCGGAUUCAUUGGGCGUAAAGGGUGCGUAGGCGGCGCGGUAAGUCGGGUGUGAAAUCUCGGAGCUUAACUCCGAAACUGCAUUCGAUACUGCCGUGCUUGAGGACUGGAGAGGAGACUGGAAUUUACGGUGUAGCGGUGAAAUGCGUAGAGAUGUGGAGGAACACCGAUGGCGAAGGCAGCCCCCUGGGCCGACACUGACGCUCAGGCACGAAAGCGUGGGGAGCAAACAGG